rnacentral:tRNA from 1 species
UACCAUUUAGCUCAAUCGGUUAGAGCCAUGGAUUUUACCAUGAGAUGGGGGUUCGACUCCCCCUUUGGUAA